UGCUGCUUUGAGUAUUGAGAUGGAUAAAAC
rnacentral:piRNA from 1 species